rnacentral:rRNA from 1 species
AAUCGAAGCAGUGAACUUAAGCCCCAGUAAACGGCGGCCGUAACUAUAACGGUCCUAAGGUAGCGAAAUUCCUUGUCGGGUAAGUUCCGACCCGCACGAAAGGCGUAACGAUUUGGGCACUGUCUCAACAACAGACUCGGUGAAAUUGUAAUUCCGGUGAAGAUGCCGGAUACCUGCGACAGGACGGAAAGACCCCAUGGAGCUUUACUGUAGCUUGACAUUGGGUCUUGGUACUACAUGUACAGGAUAGGUGGGAGGCUUUGAAACCAGGACGCCAGUUUUGGCGGAGCCAUCCUUGGGAUACCACCCUUGUAGUACUGGGACUCUAACCAUAGGCCAUGAAUCUGGUCUUGGGACACUGUCAGGUGGGCAGUUUGACUGGGGCGGUCGCCUCCCAAAAGGUAACGGAGGCGCUCAAAGGUUCUCUCAGUACGGUCGGAAAUCGUACGUAGAGUGUAAAGGCAAAAGAGAGCUUGAUUGCAAGACAUACAGGUCGAGCAAGGAUGAAAAUCGGACUUAGUGAGCCGGUGGUUCUGCGUGGAAGGGCCAUCGCUCAACGGAUAAAAGCUACCCUGGGGAUAACAGGCUUAUCUCCCCCAAGAGUCCACAUCGACGGGGAGGUUUGGCACCUCGAUGUCGGCUCAUCACAUCCUGGGGCUGUAGUAGGUCCCAAGGGUUGGGCUGUUCGCCCAUUAAAGUGGUACGCGAGCUGGGUUCAGAACGUCGUGAGACAGUUCGGUCCCUAUCCGUCGCAGGCGUAGGAAAUUUGAGAAGACCUGUCCUUAGUACGAGAGGACCGGGAUGGACGUACCUCUGGUGUACCAGUUGUCCUGCCAAGGGCAUGGCUGGGUAGCUAUGUACGGAAUGGAUAAGCGCUGAAAGCAUCUAAGCGCGAAGCCAACUUCAAGAUAAGAUUUCCCACCG